AUGUGCUUUCUAUGUGUGUCUCUGCCCAAAUCUCAGGUCGAAUUGUAAUCCUUAAUGUUAGAGGAGGGGCCGGGUGGGAGGUGAUUGGAUUACGGGGGCGGAUUUCCCCCUUGCUGUUCUCGCGAUAAUGAGUGAGUUCUCACAAGAUCUGGCUGUUUAAAAGUGUGUAGCACCUCCUCCCUUAUCUUUGCUCUCUUCCUCCUGCUCCAGCCACGUGACGCGCGUGCUCCCCCUUGGCCUUCUGCCGUGACUGUGAGUUUCCCCAGGCCUCCCCAGCCAUGCUUCCUGCACAACACGUGCAACGGUGAUCCAAUUAAACCUCUUUUCUUUAUAAAUUAUCCGGUUUUGCCGGGCUUGGUGGCUCACCCCAAAUUUCUUAGUUUAGCUUUCAGGGGUCAUCCACAACUUUUUAGAUUCAUUUUCCAUGACUUCUCUAUGUGAAGUCAAAUUGGAUCCUUCUUUUACCUUUUUUUUUUUUUAAUCGGUAAUACAAAUUACUUUCCAUGCAUUAUCUCAUUUAAAUUUUACAAUGCCCAACAAGAAAGGUAUUACACGGUUGAGGAGACUGAGGCUAGAGAAGGCAAAUAAAACAUAUAACUGGCAAACGGCAGGGGAAGGAUUUGAACCCAGGUCUGUUUGGUCUUCAAGCCCGUGCUUUUAGGUAUUGGUCUGGAUUUUGCCUUUACUUUCCUGUCUCCAUAUCAUCUGUUCCUGCAUUCUAUCCCAAAUGCCAACUCCAUGAAUGCCUUCCUUCACUUUCUUCUCCUGCUUUUCUGUGACUAAUAUUCCUAAUACUCUGGCCUGGAAGAGUCUUCAUUUGAAUUCACAUAGGAGAGCACAUGUUUUCUGUCUGUGGCUGGCAUUUUUCUUUUUAUAGUUCUAAUCCUCACACUACUAAUUCAGUGAUAGCACCAAGGAGGGCAGAAACCAUGUCUAACGCUUCUUGUAUCUCUGACCCUGUCUAGCACAAUAUCUUGCUCACAAUAGUUGUUCAAUAAUUAUUUGUUCUAUAAUUCUUAUAGAUUACCUGCCAGGGGAAAAAAUUUGUUAUAUAGAUUUGUUUGUUAAGGUUAUUUAUAAGAUUGGAUUUUAUGUCCAAGGUCUUUUUCUAAAUGUAAUACUUCGAUGUUUUGGGAGCAC
rnacentral:lncRNA from 10 species